UGGGCGCUCCAGGCAGUCGCUGUCGCAUUUAAUGCGAGAGAGGAAAGUCCGAACACCAAUAGGGCAGCGAGCCGGAUAACAUCCGGGCGUUCCGAUUUAUCGGGAUGACGACAAGUGCAACAGAGAGUAAACCUGCCCCGAUUCGUUGGGGUGAUGGGUGAAAGGGUGAGGUAAGAGCUCACCGGCGUCGAUGGUAACAUCGGCGGCCAGGUAAACUCCUCGCGGUGCAAGAUCAAAUAGGGAAUCGUGAAAUUUGUACGGCCCGUACAAUGCUUCUUCGGAGGCCGCAGAUUCCGGGUAGAUCGCUCGAUCCUGGCGGUAACGUCGGGGCUAGAUGAAUGACUGCCGCCUCAAUUUAUUGAGGAGACAAAAUUCGGCUUAUAAGGAGCGUUCAUAGC
rnacentral:RNase_P_RNA from 1 species